rnacentral:rRNA from 1 species
GAUGAACGCUGGCGGCGUGCUUAACACAUGCAAGUCGAGCGAGAAGUUUUGAAACGUUUCUUCGGAUGAAAUUCAAAAUGGAAAGCGGUGGCCGGGUGAGUAACUCGUAGGCAACCUGCCACAACCAAAGGGAUAGCAUGCGGAUACGAAUUAUAAUACUUAAUGACACUUUUCUAGUGCAUACUAGGUAGUUCAAAGACUUAUCGGUAUGGGAUGGGCCUGCGUCUGAUUAGCUAGUUGGAGAGGUAACGGCGCACAAAGGGGACGAUCAGUAGCCGACGAGAGAGGGUGAGCGGCCACAUCGGAACGGAGACACGGUCCGGACUCCUACGGGAGGGAGCAGAGGGGAAUAGUGCACAAUGGGGGGAACCCAGAAGGAGCAACGACGCUUAAACGAUGUAGGCCGUUGAGACGGAUAGUUCUGUUGUAGGGGACAAAAACUGACGGUAACCAAGGAGAAAGCCCCGGCUAACUCCGUG